GGCGGCGUAGCUCAGUUGGCUAGAGCAAUCGGUUCAUACCCGGUGGGUCGGGGGUUCAAGUCCCUCCGCCGCUACCA
rnacentral:tRNA from 1 species